UCUACAGUUGUAUGCAACUAUGGAGCUAAAGAAAGGAAAUUAGUAUACUUAUUUCAAAAGUUGUGAUAUCUGUUGAGAUAAAUUUUAAUUGAGAAAAUUUUAUCCACGGGUGGAUAAAUGUUGAUAUUGCUAAUUAUGUUUUUUUUUUUUCCACGGUUUGUAAAUGUAGAAAAUCAGGAACGCACUUCCCUCUAUGAAAUUAUGUUUUUACUCUGAUUCUCCCUUCUUCUUUUUUUUUCAGUAGCGUUGUUCUCCCCCUCUCUCUCUGUAACGCCCUCAUCUCUCUCUCAGGAAAACCUAAGUCUGUAGAUCGAUUUCUUUUGGUUUCGUUUGCUCGAAUUGGAAAAUUUCAAUUUCAAGGCUUCGUGUACUGCAUUUCUUGGAGGGUAGAUCUUUAUUGCCAAAGGCACUUGCAAAAAGGAUCUCAACUUUAUCAAUGAGGAGGCUCCUGAAAACAAUCCAGCACACACUACUAUCUAUGUUGGCAACCUUUCCCAUGAGGCGUGGACUAAUGGAAGGCUAAAGAGUGUUGUACAUAGAGCAGUAGUGGUAAACAAAGAGAAGCAAAGGCUCUUCAGAAAGCCAGGUGAUGUUAUAGUAGCUACAGAAAAUUAUAUUGAAGAACAUGGAACAAAGAGAAGCAAAUGCUCUUUAGAAAGGCAAGUGAUGUUUUAGCCACAACAGAAAAUUAUUUUGAAGAACAUGGAACAGAAGCAUUUGAAAUGCUUAUAGCCACUAGCAAGAUUUCGUGGAUUACCACAUGGACUGCUUAUUUUUUGCAAAAGCAAAACCCAUCAACAACAAAGUGUUAAAGACUUGAAUGCCAAAAAUCAUUGCAGCAAUUGCCGUAGCUGGUACUGACCUAUAAGCUUAUUCAAUAUGACCUACAAUUAUGUCUCAAAAGUUUUUUCUCAGUGACGGUGGUAGAAGAGUUGGUGACGGCGGCGGUGGUGGCGGUGGUAAUGGGGGUGGUAGCGGUUGCGGUGGUUGUGAUUAUUGUUUAUUGUAGUGGAUAUAUUAUUUUA